GGAAGAAAAAAGAAGGGAUUUGUGAUCUCUUGUCUUGAUUCCCACUUCUCCUUGAGAAAGAGGAGGUGAGGGUGGUGCUACCUCAGUAAGACAGCUCAGAAAACAUACCAUAUAUCUUCUGGUCUAGGUGAGAGGCUGUUGCUAUCAGCUAGUGGCAGCAGGGCAAAGAAAGAGAACAGAGGACUGUUUGAAAUAUAACCCACUCCCAGCGGCAGCUGUGCAAAGAAUGUGUUCAUCCUGUGCACCAAGGAUGGACCUCACAGGAAAGACAGAAGUGGUGGAUCCAUUUGUAAUUCUGCCCAAGAGAACCCCUCAGAGAGCUUGGCUAUUCCAAGAGGGAGUUUUGUGUGGCAAGGAUUACUGGGAAUCUAGGAGUUGAAGAGGAACGGGCUAGAAUAAGAAUAUGUGUAUUUGUUACACGGCAACUAGAGGGAUUUAGCAUGGGGGAAGGGGUAUUUCUCUGGAAAGUUCACAAAGGUUCUGAUGAGAUAGGUCAGCAUCUGUACAUCUGUCACUUAGAGAGGUCCAUUGUCAUUGCCAGGAGAUACCUGCACCCACCAUAUAUGACUGCUCUUGACUUCAAGCCCCCUUUCCCUUCUGGAUUCAACCCUGAGGAUGUCAGAAAUUGCAGUUAGUGGAGGAGGAGACGUGCAUUGAGAGAGGUGAAGGAAGAGAAAAAUAGAUCGAGAUCUUAAUGUGAGCUUCUUUCAAUCAGAGAAGAAUGAGCUAAGGUUACCAAUGGAAUGCAAUGACGUCCUUGAAGAACACUGAUCUUCCUGCCUUUUAUUUCAAAAGGAGUUUUCUGUUUGCAGCAGAUAGCGUGCCAUCUCCAUUUGUACACAGGACUAGGCCACGUAAAGUUAGAACCUGGGAAAACUGCGUUUUUGAGGACUUUAAAUGUUGUUUAAAUGAGGACAGAAGGAGAAGAAGCUGCAGGCUGUUCAUGGGAGUGAAAGAAAAUGCGUAUGUUUGCACAUCAGACAGCUUUGUGAAACCUCAGGGUGGGAGUAGGAGAGGACUAAGAAAGGGGAGUAUGCAAAUGAACCAAUGAUAAACUAAGGAGGAGUGGCCAGGCCUGAGUGGGGUGGCAUCAGACUCAUACAAUUCAGGCUUUAAUGGGUGACUUGGGAGAAUAGGCUGAAUGUCUUGGCUACAAUCACAAGAGCAAAGAGAGCUAUUAUGACGCCUUAGAGAAAAGUGAGGCAUGGUGAAAGGGCUAAAUGAAGAAGAAAGAUUUAUUCCCUGAGGUUACUGCUGUCAGAUAAAGAGAAAAUUGUGAUUGUCUAGUUGAGAAAUGGUCCAGUCUUAUGCUAAGUCAGUGGCAGACAAAUGAGGAAAAGAAGGGUGUGUAAUUAUCAAACCCUAGUAUUUUAGGGCUGGAUGGUGUCUUAAAGAUAAUCGUCCAGAUGAGAAAUUGAAAUUAUACCAUUUACUAUUUGACUGACAUUGAACCAGUUUCCUAAUAUUUCUGAUGGCCAGUUUUAUUACUUUGUAAAACAGUGUAAAAUGUUAUUUGUAAAAUGGUGCUGUUGUAAGACUCCACUGAAAUCAUGUUUGUGUGUUGUAAAUCACAUAGAUGGUAGAUAGGAAAGGUACAAUUAUAGGAGACACUUUGAGGAAAGUAGUGAUAGGUUUUGGCAGUAGGCUCCACGUGCAGAGUGAAGCAGAUGAGUCAGAGUUUAGCCAUUAACACAUUCUGUUCUCUUUUGGUCACAUGUAUUUAUGAGACUUUCAAGGAGAUGAUUGACAUUCAUUUGAACGUUAAGAGGCAUAUUGGUAAAACAAUUUUCUGUGUUGGCCUUUUGUACUAUAACUCCCAAACAUUUCCUAGCUGGAAAAGCAAUCAUUUGAUUCUUGUUUAUUGUGCUCUAUCAUUUGCUUAGCACAAACCUCAGGUCGCUUUUUCCUUUUACCUUCUGAUUCACACUUGUCUGAGUAAAAGAUUUCAUUUUGUGUGAAGGCCUUAACCUUGCUCUUCACUGUCAUCCAUGAACAACCUUGUGACCUUUAUCAGCUAUGUUUUGCCUGUGAGUGCCUUGUAUAGAGAGUGUAUUUUCCUCAGUGUUUCAUACAGUCGUUAGGUAGCUCUUGUUUCACAUGUACCACUGCAGGAGUCCAGGUGCUGUUCUUUUGUUUGCUCAAAGAAACCUUGGAUACACCUCUGCAACGGAUAGCUCAGGACUCUGACUCCAGGUCUCCUAUUUGUAAACAACUGGUACCUAUGUAGCAAAACGAUGUUUUAUUUGCAAAUAGAAAAUAAAAAAGAGAUUCCAGUUUAUUGGCUAAAAUGC
rnacentral:lncRNA from 1 species